rnacentral:rRNA from 1 species
UACGAGGGGGGCGAGCGUUGUUCGGAAUUAUUGGGCGUAAAGAGCUCGUAGGCGGUUUGUCGCGUCUGCUGUGAAAACCCGAGGCUCAACCUCGGGCCUGCAGUGGGUACGGGCAGACUAGAGUGCGGUAGGGGAGAUUGGAAUUCCUGGUGUAGCGGUGGAAUGCGCAGAUAUCAGGAGGAACACCGAUGGCGAAGGCAGAUCUCUGGGCCGUAACUGACGCUGAGGAGCGAAAGCAUGGGGAGCGAACAGG